AUCGUUGUAGUAUAGUGGUGAGUAUUCCCGCCUGUCACGCAGGUGACCCGGGUUCAACCCCCGGCAACGGUG
rnacentral:tRNA from 1 species